CACAGUCCACCUGGAAUGAGGACUGUGUCAAAUGCUCCGGCGCCGAAGGAUGUGGCUGCGGCCGAUUAGGUAGACGGUGGGGUAACGGCCCACCGUGCCAAUAAUCGGUACGGGUCAUGAGAGUGAGAACCCGGAGACGGAAUCUGAGACAAGAUUCCGGGCCCUACGGGGCGCAGCAGGCGCGAAACCUUUACACUGCACGACAGUGCGAUAAGGGAAUCCCAAGUGCGUAGGCAUAGAGCCUACGCUUUUGUCCACCGUAGGGAGGUGGACGAAUAAGGGCUGGGCAAGACCGGUGCCAGCCGCCGCGGUAAUACCGGCAGCCCGAGUGAUGGCCGAUUUUAUUGGGCCUAAAGCGUCCGUAGCUGGCCGCACAAGUCCAUCGGAAAAUCACCCGCUCAACGGGUGGGCGUCCGGUGGAAACUGUGUGGCUUGGGACCGGAAGGCGCGACGGGUACGUCCGGGGUAGGAGUGAAAUCCUGUAAUCCUGGACGGACCGCCGAUGGCGAAAGCACGUCGCGAGAACGGAUCCGACAGUGAGGGACGAAAGCUAGGGUCUCGAACCGGAUUAGAUACCCGGGUAGUCCUAGCCGUAAACAAUGCCUGCUAGGUGUGGCUCC
rnacentral:rRNA from 1 species